rnacentral:rRNA from 1 species
CAAUAGCGUAUAUUAAAGUUGUUGCAGUUAAAAAGCUCGUAGUUGGAUUUCUGGCAGGAGCGACCAGUCACAUACUCUGUGCGUGAACUUGUGUUGUCUCUUGCCAUCCUUGGGGAGAUCCUGUUUGGCAUUAAGUUGUCGGGCAGGGGAUACCCAUCGUUUACUGUGAAAAAAUUAGAGUGUUUAAAGCAGGCUUAUGCCGUUGAAUAUAUUAGCAUGGAAUAAUAAGAUAGGACUUCGGAACUAUUUUGUUGGUUUGCGUUACGAAGUAAUGAUUAAUAGGGACAGUUGGGGGUGCUAGUAUUGGCCGGCCAGAGGUGAAAUUCUUGGAUUCGGUCAAGACUAACUUAUGCGAAAGCAUUCACCAAGGAUGUCUUCUUUAAUCAAGAACGAAAGUUGGGGAUCGAAGAUGAUCAGAUACC